AUACGGGGCUUAAUGUCUUGUAAUUGGAAUGAUGGGAAUUUAAACCUCUUCCAGAGUAUCAAUUGGAGGGCAAGUCUGGUGCCAGCAGCCGCGGUAAUUCCAGCUCCAAUAGCGUAUAUUAAAAUUGUUGCAGUUAAAAAGCUCGUAGUUGAAUUUCUGCUACAUUGCCUAUUCUCCUUUACGAGUUUGGGUCUUUUGUGGCUUAUCUGGGUUCGCUUGCGUUCCCGGUGUUUUACUUUGAGAAAAUUAGAGUGCUCAAAGCAGGCUUUUGCCUUGAAUAGUUUAGCAUGGAAUAAUAAAGUAGGACUUUGGUUCUAUUUUGUUGGUUUUAGGUACCAAAGUAAUGGUUA
rnacentral:rRNA from 1 species